rnacentral:rRNA from 1 species
UCCUACGGGAGGCAGCAGUGGGGAAUAUUGGACAAUGGGGGGAACCCUGAUCCAGCCAUGCCGCGUGUGUGAAGAAGGCCUUCGGGUUGUAAAGCACUUUCAGCGAGGAAGAACGCCUAGUGGUUAAUACCCAUUAGGAAAGACAUCACUCGCAGAAGAAGCACCGGCUAACUCCGUGCCAGCAGCCGCGGUAAUACGGAGGGUGCAAGCGUUAAUCGGAAUUACUGGGCGUAAAGCGCGCGUAGGUGGCUUGAUAAGCCGGUUGUGAAAGCCCCGGGCUCAACCUGGGAACGGCAUCCGGAACUGUCAGGCUAGAGUGCAGGAGAGGAAGGUAGAAUUCCCGGUGUAGCGGUGAAAUGCGUAGAGAUCGGGAGGAAUACCAGUGGCGAAGGCGGCCUUCUGGACUGACACUGACACUGAGGUGCGAAAGCGUGGGUAGCAAACAGGAUUAGAUACCCUGGUAGUCCACGCCGUAAACGAUGUCGACCAGCCGUUGGGUGCCUAGAGCACUUUGUGGCGAAGUUAACGCGAUAAGUCGACCGCCUGGGGAGUACGGCCGCAAGGUUAAAACUCAAAUGAAUUGACGG